AUUGAACGCUGGCGGCAGGCCUAACACAUGCAAGUCGAACGAGUGGCGGACGGGUGAGUAAUGUCUGGGAAACUGCCUGAUAGAGGGGGAUAACUACUGGAAACGGUAGCUAAUACCGCAUACCAUCGGAUGUGCCCAGAUGGGAUUAGCUAGAAGGUGGGGUAAAGGCUCACCUAGGCGACGCUCCCUAGCUGGUCUGAGAGGAUGACCAUCCACACUGGAACUGAGAGACGGUCCAGACUCCUACGGGAGUCAGCAGGGGGGAAUAUUGCAAAAGGGGGGCAAGCGUGAUGCAGCCAGGCCGCGUGUAGGAAGAAGGCCUUCGGUUUGUAAAGGACUUUCAGCGGGGAGGCGUUACCCGCAGAAGAAGCACCGGCUAACUCCGUGCCAGCAGCCGCGGUAAUAC
rnacentral:rRNA from 1 species